GUGUGGAGUCGCUGUGAGGAGCUUCUGUGUGGAGUCGCUGUGUGGUGGCGCUGUGAGGAGUCGCCGUGUGGAGUCGCCGUGUGGUGGCGCCGUGUGGUGGCGCUGUGAAGAGUCGCUGUGAGGAGUCGCUGUGUGGAGUCGCUGUGAGGAGUCGCUGUGUGGUGGCGCUGUGUGGAUCACUGUGUGGAGUCGCUGUGUGGAGUCGCUGUGUGGAGUCGCUGUGUGGUGGCGCUGUGAGGAGUUGCUGUGUGGAGUCUCUGUGAGGAGUCGCUGUGAGGAGUCGCUGUGAGGAGUCGCUGUGAGGAGUCGCUGUGUGGUGGCGCUGUGUGGAGUCGCUGUGUGGAGUCACUGUGUGGAGUCGCCGUGUGGAGUCGCUGUGAGGAGUCGCUGUGUGGAGUCGCUGUGAGGAGUCGCUGUGUGGAGUCGCUGUGAGGAGUCGCUGUGAGGAGUCACUGUGUGGUGGCGCUGUGAGGAGUCGCCGUGUGGAGUCGCUGUGAGGAGUCGCUGUGUGGAGUCGCUGUGAGGAGUCGCUGUGUGGAGUCGCUGUGAGGAGUCGCUGUGAGGAGUCACUGUGUGGUGGCGCUGUGAGGAGUCGCCGUGUGGAGUCGCUGUGAGGAGUCGCUGUGAGGAGUUGCUGUGAGGAGUCGCUGUGUGGGGUGUCAGUGGCCGGGCACUCAG